GCUGGGCGUGGGGGCGCAUGCCUGUAAUCCCUGCUACUCGGGAGGCUGAGGCAGGAGAAUCACUGGAACCUGGGAGACAGAGGUUGCAGUGAGCUGAGCUCGCGCCACUGCAAUCCAGCCUGGGUGACAGAAUGAGAUUCUGCUUCCA
rnacentral:SRP_RNA from 1 species